rnacentral:tRNA from 1 species
UCUCCAGUAGCUCAGUGGCAGAGCAUGUGGCUGUUAACCAUAUGGUCGCUGGUUCAAAUCCAGCCUGGGGAG